AACGAACGUUGGCGGCGUGGAUUAGGCAUGCAAGUCGAACGAAAACGGUCUUGUAGCAAUACCGGGCCGGAUUGAGUGGCGAAAGGGGCAGUAAGGCGUGGGUAACCUACCCUGGGGACCGGGAUAGCCUUCCUAACGGAUGGGUAAUACCGGGCGAUCUGCCGAGGGGGCAUCUCCUUGUCAGGAAAUGAAUUUCGCCUCGGGAGGGGCUCACGUGAUAUUAGCUUGUUGGUGAGGUAAUGGCUCACCAAGGCCAAGAUGUCUAGCAGGUGUGAGAGCACGACCUGCGCCACUGGCACUGAGACACUGGCCAGACACCUACGGGUGGCUGCAGUCGAGGAUCUUCGGCAAUGGGCGCAAGCCUGACCGAGCGACGCCGCGUGUGCGAUGAAGGCCUUCGGGUUGUAAAGCACUGUCGAGGGGGAGGAAGGCGCAAGCUUGACCUAUCCCUGGAGGAAGCACGGGCUAAGUUCGUGCCAGCCGCCGCGGUAACA
rnacentral:rRNA from 1 species